rnacentral:tRNA from 1 species
GAGAUGUUAGUAAAAUAUUACGUAACUUUGUCAAGGUUAAAUUACAGGUGAAAACCCUGUACAUCUCA